rnacentral:lncRNA from 12 species
GGAUAUCUGAGGUGAGACAGGAUACUGUUAGCCAGCUUUGGUGCCCAGAAAAUGUUCUGUAGUAAAUGGGGACAUUUGAGUGCCAGCAGUGCAGAUCCUGGCCUUUCAGUUUGGUGACAAGGCUCAUGCAGCUGUAUCACUGAUGCAGCUCGAUGGGGAUACUCUGGAGGGGGAUGGCUAUAUUGAGAGCACAGCUUGAGUGACGCCUGUGGCCAUCUUCAAGCAUGCCAUUCCUUUUCUAAAACAUACACUGAAACCAAAUACCCUGUCACGUCCAACUCUUCCUGGAAUUCCCUCCUCCUCCCUCUCUACCCAGAUCCUGACUCUCUCCCUCCUCCUCUGUCUCACCCAAAUUGUUUGCUGGCCUCAAAAAAGACCUGGUGUCAGCCACUCUUCCUGACCAGAUUUGUUUUUAAGUGCUGACCACACUACCAUCAGAAUCAAUGCCAUGGGGAUGGCUUGCUCUCUUCAGUACCUUUUUA